AUGGGAUCCGGUGCAUUAGUGCUGGUAUGAUACAGAGAAGAUUAGCAUGGCCCUUGCGCAAGGAUGACACAUAUAAGUCGAGAAAUGGUAUCAGAGCCAU